rnacentral:rRNA from 1 species
AAGGCUGAGCUGUGAUGGGGAAGCUCCUUAUGGAGCGAAGUCUUUGAUUCCCCGCUGCCAAGAAAAGCUUCUAGCGAGAUAAAAGGUGCCUGUACCGCAAACCGACACAGGUAGGCGAGGAGAGAAUCCUAAGGUGUGCGAGAGAACUCUGGUUAAGGAACUCGGCAAAAUGACCCCGUAACUUCGGGAGAAGGGGUGCUUUCUUAACGGAAAGCCGCAGUGAAUAGGCCCAAGCGACUGUUUAGCAAAAACACAGCUCUCUGCGAAGCCGUAAGGCGAAGUAUAGGGGGUGACACCUGCCCGGUGCUGGAAGGUUAAGGAGAGGGGUUAGCGUAAGCGAAGCUCUGAACUGAAGCCCCAGUAAACGGCGGCCGUAACUAUAACGGUCCUAAGGUAGCGAAAUUCCUUGUCGGGUAAGUUCCGACCCGCACGAAAGGUGUAACGAUUUGGGCACUGUCUCAACCAGAGACUCGGUGAAAUUAUAGUACCUGUGAAGAUGCAGGUUACCCGCGACAGGACGGAAAGACCCCGUGGAGCUUUACUGUAGCCUGAUAUUGAAUUUUGGUACAGUUUGUACAGGAUAGGCGGGAGCCAUUGAAACCGGAGCGCUAGCUUCGGUGGAGGCGCUGGUGGGAUACCGCCCUGACUGUAUUGAAAUUCUAACCUACGGGUCUUAUCGACCCGGGAGACAGUGUCAGGUGGGCAGUUUGACUGGGGCGGUCGCCUCCUAAAGUGUAACGGAGGCGCCCAAAGGUUCCCUCAGAAUGGUUGGAAAUCAUUCGUAGAGUGCAAAGGCAUAAGGGAGCUUGACUGCGAGACCUACAAGUCGAGCAGGGACGAAAGUCGGGCUUAGUGAUCCGGUGGUUCCGCAUGGAAGGGCCAUCGCUCAACGGAUAAAAGCUACCCCGGGGAUAACAGGCUUAUCUCCCCCAAGAGUCCACAUCGACGGGGAGGUUUGGCACCUCGAUGUCGGCUCAUCGCAUCCUGGGGCUGUAGUCGGUCCCAAGGGUUGGGCUGUUCGCCCAUUAAAGCGGUACGCGAGCUGGGUUCAGAACGUCGUGAGACAGUUCGGUCCCUAUCCGUCGUGGGCGUAGGAAAUUUGAGAGGAGCUGUCCUCAGUACGAGAGGACCGGGAUGGACGCACCGCUGGUGUACCAGUUGUUCUGCCAAGGGCAUAGCUGGGUAGCUAUGUGCGGAAGGGAUAAGUGCUGAAAGCAUCUAAGCAUGAAGCCCCCCUCAAGAUGAGAUUUCCCAUAGCGUAAGCUAGUAAGAUCCCUGAAAGAUGAUCAGGUUGAUAGGUUCGAGGUGGAAGCAUGGUGACAUGUGGAGCUGACGAAUACUAAUAGAUCGAGGACUUAACC